rnacentral:rRNA from 1 species
CACGUAGGGUGCGAGCGUUGUCCGGAUUUACUGGGCGUAAAGAGCGUGUAGGCGGCCAAGCAGGUCCGUUGUGAAAACUGGAGGCUUAACCUCCAGACGUCGACGGAAACCGCGUGGCUAGAGUCCGGAAGAGGAGAGUGGAAUUCCUGGUGUAGCGGUGAAAUGCGCAGAUAUCAGGAAGAACACCAAUGGCGAAAGCAGCUCUCUGGGACGGUACUGACGCUGAGACGCGAAAGCGUGGGGAGCGAACAGG